GGAGGGGGCAGCUCAGUGGUAGAGUGCCUGACUAGCAUUCAGAAGGUCCUGGGUUCAAUCCCCAGUACUUCCA
rnacentral:tRNA from 1 species